rnacentral:rRNA from 1 species
GACGAACGCUGGCGGCGUGCUUAACACAUGCAAGUCGAACGGAAAGGCCCUGCUUUUGUGGGGUGCUCGAGUGGCGAACGGGUGAGUAACACGUGAGUAACCUGCCCUGGACUUUGGGAUAACUUCAGGAAACUGGGGCUAAUACCGGAUAGGAGCUCCUGCUGCAUGGUGGGGGGUGGAAAGUUUCGGCGGUUGGGGAUGGACUCGCGGCUUAUCAGCUUGUUGGUGGGGUAGUGGCUUACCAAGGCUUUGACGGGUAGCCGGCCUGAGAGGGUGACCGGCCACAUUGGGACUGAGAUACGGCCCAGACUCCUACGGGAGGCAGCAGUGGGGAAUAUUGCACAAUGGGCGGAAGCCUGAUGCAGCAACGCCGCGUGCGGGAUGACGGCCUUCGGGUUGUAAACCGCUUUCGCCUGUGACGAAGCGUGAGUGACGGUAAUGGGUAAAGAAGCACCGGCUAACUACGUG